rnacentral:lncRNA from 1 species
AAAAAUCGGGCUGGGCCGGGCCGGGCCGGGCUUAUUAUUUUUUCCCGGGCUAGGCCUAGGCAAAAUUUUAGGCCCAUAUUUUGGGCCGGGCCGGGCCCGGGCCAAAAUUUUUUCCGAGCCCGGCCCGAACCCAGCCCGGCCCAUGGACAGGUCUACUCUAGAUUCCCUCUCGAAUUAGUGUUUAGGGGAAUGAUAACGUCAAGAAGUGAAGGCUUUCCGAAAAUCCUACAGUUAAAGAGGGGGUAGUUUCAUUACAAUUAGUAAAUAAUACUUAGUUUUGUUAUGAAAUAUGAUGCAACACAAAACAAUCUUACAAGUUGCUAUUUCCAUAAUGGAAAUUGUCCCUCAAUCGAGGCUUAUUGAACAAUCUCUAAUGACUGAUUUUGUUGCUAAAUGGUUGGCAAAUAUCUAUCAUGGUUGGCAAAUAUCUAUCAUUACAUUAUCGAUAUUCCAAAUCUUAUUACAUGGACUUUAAGGGAUACAUGUGGUUGUUUUUUUCCUUUUAGUCAUAAAAAAAGGAAUCAUUUCGCUUGAUUUACCUAAAAUUAAAUGAUGUUUCAUUAGAGUAGAAAAAGGAGUUCGUGGAAGAGGUGAAUACAGUGUGCUUGAUUGAAUCCUACCUUGCUAAAGCCCCAAACACGUUCAUAACUCCUUCCACUAUGGUUAAUGUGUCAGAUUCUGCUUACUAUGCCCCAUGAAAAUGGAAGGUAUGAAGUAUAAUUAUAGAAUGAGUUUUAGUUUUUAUAAUCAUAUUAUAUUUUAUUCACAUGUGAUAAUAUAUAAUUAUAUAUUAUAGGUUUUGGUCUCUUCAACAAAUGCGUCAAUCAUGUAUCUAAUAAAAACCUGAUCAAGAAGUCGUGUUCAAUAAUGAAUUUUUCUUUACCAUCUCGUUUGUGGUAUGUGAUAUAAUACGAUUGGCGAAAUAAUAAUUCCCUGUUAUUUGAAAACAAUAAAUUGUAGUUGCUUUUGGUUAUUUCAUUUGGACUAGUCAUAUGUGUUUUUUUGUAAUUGAAUUGGAAUGACAUGUAUGCUGUUAUGUAAUUGGCUUAGAUAAUUUGUAAUUGAACUUUGUAAUUUUUAUUUGCGGUUUAAUUAUUUAUUUACCUACCAUUAUCAACUAACAUCAAUCCCUAUCAUCAUGUUGCUUUUCUAUUAACUUGUUUUUGUAGAUGCCUCUACCACCAGUCAAGAUUCCACAUGAACUUGGCAAAGUAGAAACCUCCAUUUCCGAGUACAUUUGCGAUAAUGAUGUUAAUUAUAUAGAGUAAGCACUUGUUAAAUAUUCUUUAUCAUUAAUCAUAUACAUGCAUUGUAUGAAUCUAAAGUCUGUACUUGUAAAGUUGUAGUGAAACAAUAUUAAUGUCGGGAAUGUUUCGGCUUGUAUUUAGGAGUUCUAUGCAAUACAACCUAGGGUGUAGAUUGGUGACAACAUAACUUUGGUUUUUAUUACUUCAAUGUUAAUUUUUUUUAAUAUUAUUC